rnacentral:lncRNA from 1 species
GGCUGGGCAUUAGAGAGAGCUGGUCUGGCUUUGCAGCAGCCUCAUGAAGUAGGGACUUUUGCUUUAUCUUCUCUUUGCACAGAAGAGAGAGGCACAGUAAAUCUCCCAAGGAUCACAACGCUUGACAGAAGAGUUUAUCUUUAACUUUGGUAUCCAGCACAAAGUCUCUGUUCCUUACGUGGCUCUGUUUUCUUUUCUUGAGGGACAUCCAGUGAUCAGGCACUAGAACCCCCCUGGGUGGCCCAUGCGCUCCAACUUUCCUGUUUCCUCUAUUCCUCUGCAACCACUGAGACCCACCCCCUUUUAAACAGUGGAGCCACCAAAAGGUGGCUUCCCUGAUUCCUGGGUCACUGAGCAAGGGGCAGCUGACCUGGAGGUUUGCUAGCUGUCUACUGCCUUGCAUGGAUGAAAACAACACCUGUGUAAAGAGUUUAUGUUGGUUUCCAUGGAGAUCUGGAGAGGUCUUUUUGUCUUGCUGGAUUGAAACGCUAUACUUUAGAUUAUAAUGCUGGCAAACAACCAUUCUACCUUCUGCCUUUGUGAACAAGGACACCUGUUAACUUCAUUUACGUAUUGGCGUUGACACCUCCUACAUACAAGUCACAAUUGCCAGCCUUGGGGACACAGCAGUGCCCGUCUUCAUUGGUACUUCCAGUCUAGCGAGGAAGCAGAAUAUAAAAUUCCCACAAUGAUUAGUAACUAUUAUGACAAGCUCCGAGAAGUCCCAACUGCAGGCUUGCCCAGCACACAAACAGACCGGAGCUCGAUCCCCAGCACCAACCACACAAAAGCAUCCUUGAACACUGGUCUCCAGGAAGCAUUCCCUUGCACAGCUCUCUCCAACAGGCUGUUGACCCUUGAAUGUACGUGUCACUUUAUGGGUUUAUGGAGAAGACAGACUGGGAAAGGCAAAGACUUCAAUCAAAGAGGAAUCAGUGGGAGUCUGGGCAGUCUUUCCUGAGAAGAUGUGAACACAUGUCUGCUUACCCUGCAUAGGGCACCAACGACAGACCAAAGAGACUGGACCCCACAGCUCUGAGUCUUGUUUGUGGCGACAAUUAUGGGAGUUGCUUUUCAGGCGGAUGGGUGCCUCUGGCACUGACUGCUUCAUGAAAAAGCCCACUGCAGUCUGGGUCAGAUGACUCAUCUAAGGGACAUUUCGAGCUCCCUAUGUUACUU